rnacentral:rRNA from 1 species
UCCUACGGGGCGCAGCAGUAGGGAAUCUUCCACAAUGGGCGAAAGCCUGAUGGAGCAACGCCGCGUGGGUGAAGAAGGUCUUCGGAUUGUAAACUAUUGUCAUUAGGGAAGAGAAAGGACAGUACCUAAAGAGGAAGCUCCGGCUAACUACGUGCCAGCAGCCGCGGUAAUACGUAGGUGGCGAGCGUUAUCCGGAAUGAUUGGGCGUAAAGGGUGCGUAGGCGGCCUGCUAAGUCUGGAGUGAAAGGUACCGGCUCAACCGGUACAGGCUCUGGAAACUGGCGGGCUAGAGAGCAGGAGAGGGG